rnacentral:rRNA from 1 species
GACGAACGCUGGCGGCGUGCUUAACACAUGCAAGUCGAACGGAAAGGCCCUUCGGGGUACUCGAGUGGCGAACGGGUGAGUAACACGUGGGUGAUCUGCCCUGCACUUUGGGAUAAGCCUGGGAAACUGGGUCUAAUACCGAAUAGGACCACGCGCUUCAUGGUGUGUGGUGGAAAGCUUUUGCGGUGUGGGAUGGGCCCGCGGCCUAUCAGCUUGUUGGUGGGGUAAUGGCCUACCAAGGCGACGACGGGUAGCCGGCCUGAGAGGGUGACCGGCCACACUGGGACUGAGAUACGGUCCAGACUCCUACGGGAGGCAGCAGUGGGGAAUAUUGCACAAUGGGCGCAAGCCUGAUGCAGCGACGCCGCGUGAGGGAUGACGGCCUUCGGGUUGUAAACCUCUUUCACCAGGGACGAAGCGUAAGUGACGGUACCUGGAGAAGAAGCACCGGCCAACUACGUG